GUGCAAACGAGACCAUCCACUACACCGAGCGGGAGAAGGUACAUACAAAACAAGUCGAAUUCCAGCGGAGGGAGGUGGAAAGACGUGGCAAAAUCAUCCACCAAUUGGAACUGGACCUGGCGGCAUCCCAGGCCAGCUUGUCUGCUUCGCAGAGAAAUCUGGACGCCACACAAAACGAACUGGAUGACCUCCAACUCAUCAACGCCUCCCAAGGUAAUGCAAAUUACCCAACAACAUGUGUUUUAAUUUGAACACGACAACCUGUAUUGUACGACCGCCUCCCAAGAUACUGAUUCGGCCCAUCCGAGAUUGUGUUCGACGAUGGUCGAUGACAUGGACGAGAACGGGAACGGAGGUACACCUUCAUCUUUCAAAUGACUGUCGUGGUUAUAAAAAUACAUGCAGGCUUUAUGUCCAUGUGCUCGGAAAACUGAU
ensembl:lncRNA